ensembl:snRNA U6 U6 spliceosomal RNA
CUGCUCGCCUUGGCAGCAUAAAUACUAGAAUUAGAACUAUACUGAGUAGAUUAACAUGGCCCCUGCGCAAGGAUGACACUUAAAUUCGUGAAGCGUUCCAUAUUUCU